CCUCGCGCCCCACUCGGCGAGCGCGCCGGCCCCGGGAGCCCCUGCUCGUGCCCCUGGCGCCCCCGCCCUAGCGCCGCGCCCCGCCCCACUGUCGGGAGGAAGUAGGUAGCUAACAGGGUGUACAUCAUUUACCGAGAUAGUGAAAUGAAUUACUUAAAAAACUGACGUGGCUUAUUCGAGAUAACCCACCUACAAUGAGAUUGUAUUAAAUAUUGUGUAAUAUAAUAUAAUUACAGUCAAAUCUUUACGCAUAUGUAUAUUGUACAUCUUAGUAUAAUAUAUAUAUACACGUCCUAAAAUGUUUUUACUUACAAAGUAUUAAGUGCAAAGUUUAUAAAACUUUUAACAGUUUAUUAUUUACAAAUCGAGUCAUCAGAGUCAGUAUAAACAUUAUAUGAAUGAAGUAUUUUAUUUUCUUUUGUAAAUUUGUCAUGUAACUUUGAUUAAAAAAAAAUCUUAUUUAUAUUUAUUUUAAAUCAUAUCUGAGCCAAUGAUGGCG
rnacentral:misc_RNA from 1 species